AAGAAUAGAAAUCCUAAUUCAACUUUAAUUAAGCAUACUAAAUAAGAUAAAUUUCCUAAAUAAAAGAUAAACUUCCUAAGUAAAAAUUAGCAUAAUUCCUAGACAAUAAAAAACUCCUUAAAUAUCCCAAUUCUAUAAUAAUUAAAAUUCCCACAUAGAAUUCUUUUCCCAUGUUGUAUUAUUCUCCUCGGAGAAAACUCGACCUCAAGUUUUGAAGUGCUGAAGAAUCAUAAACCAAGCAAGGAGAACACACAAUACGAUCUU
rnacentral:misc_RNA from 1 species